rnacentral:rRNA from 1 species
CCUACGGGUGGCUGCAGUGGGGAAUAUUGCACAAUGGGGGAAACCCUGAUGCAGCGACGCCGCGUGAAGGAAGAAGGAUUUCGGUAUGUAAACUUCUAUCAGCAGGGAAGAAAAUGACGGUACGUGACUAAGAAGCCCCGGCUAACUACGUGCCAGCAGCCGCGGUAAUACGUAGGGGGCAAGCGUUAUCCGGAUUUACUGGGUGUAAAGGGAGCGUAGGCGGUUUAGCAAGUCAGAAGUGAAAGCCCGGGGCUCAACUCCGGGACUGCUUUUGAAACUGUUGAACUAGAGUGCAGGAGAGGUAAGUGGAAUGCAUAGUGUAGCGGUGAAAUGCGUAGAGAUUAGGAGGAACACCAGUGGCGAAGGCGGCUUACUGGACUGUAAAUGACGCUGAGGCUCGAAAGCGUGGGGAGCAAACAGGAUUAGAUACCCCUGUAGUC